rnacentral:misc_RNA from 1 species
UAAACCCUCACCCCUCCCAACUUGUUUGGGUGUGUCGGCUUCUAUAGCUGGCCACAGGGGUGGAUCUGGCUUCCCCAAUCUGCCAUUCGGUGGAUUGGGUUGGCUGAAGUGCAGAGGCUUAAGCAAGGACCCGAUAUGGGCUUCAACUGGAUAGGUAGCACCGGCUUCUGCCGACUACACGAAGUUGUUGCUUGUGGAUCUUGCUAGGGGCCAAGCAGGAACAUGCCUAUGGUAUGUCUAAAC